CGGCUUCAAAGCAGACUUUCUGCGGUCUUCGAUAACGGGACACUGGCUUGGGGAUCACACCGGUUUCCUAUGAAGGGGAAAAUGAGAAGCAAAAUUAUAAACAAUCAUCUACUUGUGGAAAGGUAUUCACUAGCGUCAGCUUGCUCCCCAACUGGCGAGCCAGCCAGCAGAUGGACGAAUGAGAAAGAUUUUGAUUCGGCAAUUCUUCAACCUGAAAGUCGUCGUCUGAUCAAUAUGCGAAUUGCGGUGGAAAUUGCCCUUGCGAUUAUGGUUGUUCAAAUUUUACAGCCAGUGACCGCCCGUAACUGUUGGAAUGACGGCAGUACUGAUAAGAUUACCAUCUCGGCUGCCGGGAAGAAACGAACAGUGAAGUGCUUAGAUUGCAGAAGAUGAUUAGCUGUAUUUGACGGUAAUGUAGGGCAUGUUGUGUAAUAUUUAAAGGGCGUUCAAGUGGAUUUGGAUUAAAAAUUAAACACUUAUAGGAUUAGUCAUAUGUCAUAAGUAUCUCCUACCAACUUGGAUGAUGCCGUUGAUAUCAUAACGUUGCAUAUUGUGAAAGCUUUUGCAAAUGCUUGCCCUUUACGCUCUGGGAAAACCUAGAGGAAACUCAUGGUGGAAUUCCAAUUUAGCUAAG